CUCUCUCUUUCUUUUUGGUGUGGUUCUUGGUUUGUGAAAUUACUUGGAACUUAACUGAGCCAAUUAAUUCUUCAGGUGGUUAAAGAUUCUUGUUUUAAACGUGCUGAUUAGUUAAUUAAACAUUUUGAAGACUUAUCAAUCUGAAUUUCAUUUACAGAAAAUCUUCAGAGAUCACCAAACGGUGUGAUCGUUUCAUAAAAGUUGGUAUAGUCUGUAAUUUUCUCAGGAGCCAGAUCAAAAUUUUGAUUUUUUUUUUAUCUUGGUAACCAAACAUGGUAAUAGGAUUUGGAUAUAAGCUUCCUGAAUCUCAAAGAAUCUGGUUUAUGGUUAUUUUUUGGUCAUUAUUAUUAAUUAGGUAUUUACAAUUCUUUAAAAUGGUUGUUCUAAUUGUGUUGGACAUUUUAAUUUGUUCUCCUUAGGUUUUGAGUUUGACCAAUUUAAAAUAGUUCAAUUUGUUACUGUUAGCUUGUGUGCCAUUAUGGGUUUUACAACUUGCCCUAAAAUUGUUAGUUUCCAACUUUAGUUACCUUAAGUGUCGCUUUGGCCAUGGCAUGUGCAUGAUCAUAUCUCCUAAGUGAAUAGUUGGAGAAGCAUCAGAUGUUGCAGGUUGUCUCAAUUUAUGUGUAUGGGGAAGGUGUGCUUGAGAGCAUGUGUAUGCACAUCAACUAAGAAUAAGACUUUUUUGACUUGUUAGAUUGCUCAUCCUUUUUGUUGUAUUGCUCUUCUGUGGCACUAUAUUAGAUUAUAGAAACAAGAUUUAUUUGGUAAGAAUUUAAAUAGAAAAUGUGUGUUUGGUUUAUUUUGAUUUUUGAUUUUUUUUUUCAUUCAUUGGUAAAGAUUUGUUUUUUUGAUAGGUAAUUCAUUGGUAAAGAUUUGUGUCGCAGAGAUACCUUCAGAAUCCUUUUUGAGUACUCUUUUAUUAUAUAUUUUAUAAAGAUUAAAUGUUUUUUAUUGCAUUAAAACUUGUUCUUCAACGUUGCAGGAUUACAUAAAAGAAAGCAAUAAUUUAGUGUCGCUUCAUGAUCAAAUUCGUGAAUGUGAUAGAAUCUUGUCACAUAUGGAAACUCUCCUCAGUGGAUUUCAAGUUGAAAUUGGUUCCAUAAGUUCAGACAUAAAAAGUCCUCCAAGAGAAGUCUAUGGAUAUGGGCCUGAAGCUUAAUUGAUAGUGUUUUUAAUUCAACUGUUAUAUGUAAAUAAGGAGAAUAUGGGCCAUUUGAGUAAUGCCAAAGUGACAUCUCUAAAUUAUUGUUCUAUAAACCUUUCCGUUUUUCUUAUGAUUGUUCUAUGUUCUAUAAACAUUGGCAAAGUUUGUCGAAGACAUUAUAGUCCCUCCGAGGAUGGUUGACAUAGUCGUUGACGGAGAGGUAUUUCUAAUUUUUGUAGAGCCUGCGUUUUUACUGUUACUGUCAUAAUUGCUAUUA